rnacentral:rRNA from 1 species
AACGAACGCUGGCGGCAUGCCUAACACAUGUAAGUCGAACGAGACCUUCGGGUCUAGUGGCGCACGGGUGCGUAACGCGUGGGAACCUGCCUUUAGGUUCGGAAUAACUCAGAGAAAUUUGAGCUAAUACCGGAUGAUGUCUUCGGACCAAAGAUUUAUCGCCUUUAGAUGGGCCCGCGUUGGAUUAGCUAGUUGGUGGGGUAAAGGCCUACCAAGGCGACGAUCCAUAGCUGGUCUGAGAGGAUGAUCAGCCACACUGGGACUGAGACACGGCCCAGACUCCUACGGGAGGCAGCAGUGGGGAAUAUUGGACAAUGGGCGAAAGCCUGAUCCAGCAAUGCCGCGUGAGUGAUGAAGGCCUUAGGGUUGUAAAGCUCUUUUACCCGAGAUGAUAAUGACAGUAUCGGGAGAAUAAGCUCCGGCUAACUCCGUG